rnacentral:rRNA from 1 species
UACGUAGGGUGCAAGCGUUAAUCGGAAUUACUGGGCGUAAAGCGUGCGCAGGCGGUGAGGUAAGACAGAUGUGAAAUCCCCGAGCUCAACUUGGGAACUGCAUUUGUGACUGCAUCGCUGGAGUGCGGCAGAGGGGGAUGGAAUUCCGCGUGUAGCAGUGAAAUGCGUAGAUAUGCGGAGGAACACCGAUGGCGAAGGCAAUCCCCUGGGCCUGCACUGACGCUCAUGCACGAAAGCGCGGGGAGCAAACAGG